GUGGUAAUUUCAGCUUAUUAUUCUUCCAUAGCGUACGCCACCCCCUAUUAUCAAGGAUGGCGUACGCUACCGCACUAGUUAAUUCGUAUAAGAAGAGCUGCAAAGCUUAGAAGCUUUGAACAGCUCAAGCAACCUUUGAACUACAUCUGUAAAGCAGCCGAUUGUGGACUGAGAUUGUGCUCCGCAUGCCACUAUUAUAGGCAUAAAGGAAUAUCGCGCCCUGUCAAGAGCUUCUCGCGUUGUUUUCGUUAUCAAGUUUCGUUCGUUGUGUGACAGAUGCACUGCUUCCCCGUUGGACCCUUGGGUUGCCAAUCCAGACACCCCAGCCAUGGCCAUACAAACCGCAUGGCUGGAAAAUAGUAUCUAGGUCCAGGUCAUCAGAUAUUUCUUCGAAGAAAGUUACUGUUGGAACAUAGAUCCUUGGUUUUAGUGGCCGUGAUAUAUGAUUAUGGCUUACUUCAAGGGAAGCGUUGGAAAAUGCCGUGGCUGUACUCUGAUGAGUGAACGCCGUUUGGAGCAGCUCCCCGCCCUGUAAGAUGUCCUGCCUGGUUGUAGUUGUGGCCGGGUGAAGAGGCGUCGUUAUGAGGAGGCAUCUGGCCCGCGGUGGUUCGAAGUUCCCGUCAAAGUGAAAGUACAAGGAAACAAACAAAUAAUAAAAUAGGAGAAUAAGAGUACCGAAAUAAGUUAAGUCACCCAGAAAAAAAAAAAAAAAAUAAAGUUCCUGGGAAACUUGCCCUGCUUAAGGGAACUUCAACAAUGUUGCUCAAUCUAGUUACCUCCAUCCGCCCGUUGGCCUUUGUCCAAUUAACCCUGUUUCCUGAGUCAUUAACAACGAGGGAUCUAUUCAGCUGUCACUCAAGUAACCGGAGGAGUCGGUUUGUCUGUCGCUGCCCACGGGGGCAUUGAAGUAGCCAUUAAUAACUAGAGGAUGUAGCGAAGCAAGAUCAUCUGUUCCAUACAGAAUAGCGCUGCAGGGAGUCCUGCAUUUGGGCAUUGGUCAACACCUUGCAGCAGCUCGUGGAGAAUUGCGUGGUAGAAGCUUUUUGAUGCGUGGGGGUUAAGUUAGGUGACGACCAGGAGACUCCGGUUGAUAACGGUUUGCAAAGUUGCGGUUUGAUGGGAAUAUAAGGAAUGAGGCGAAGCGAAGUGUAGGAUAUCUAAUAUAUAUAUCUAGAGCUCAACAUAAAAAGCAGUCGCAGGGAAAAGCCAUACAAGCGAGGGUAUCAGACGAGAACAUAGAAAAACAGAAACA
rnacentral:sRNA from 1 species